AGGACGAACGCUGGCGGCGUGCUUAACACAUGCAAGUCGAGCGGAAAGGCCCUUCGGGGUACUCGAGCGGCGAACGGGUGAGUAACACGUGAGUAAUCUGCCCCUAGCUCUGGGAUAGCUCCGGGAAACCGGGAUUAAUACCAGAUACGACCACUUUAGACAUCUGUUGUGGUGGAAAGAAUUUUGGCUAGGGAUGAGCUCGCGGCCUAUCAGCUUGUUGGUGAGGUAACGGCUCACCAAGGCGACGACGGGUAGCCGGCCUGAGAGGGCGACCGGCCACACUGGGACUGAGACACGGCCCAGACUCCUACGGGAGGCAGCAGUGGGGAAUAUUGCGCAAUGGGCGAAAGCCUGACGCAGCGACGCCGCGUGGGGGAUGAAGGCCUUCGGGUUGUAAACCCCGUUUCAGCAGGGACGAAGCGAAAGUGACGGUACCUGCAGAAGAAGCGCCGGCUAACUACGUGCCAGCAGCCGC
rnacentral:rRNA from 1 species